rnacentral:rRNA from 1 species
AUUGAACGCUGGCGGCAUGCUUUACACAUGCAAGUCGAACGGCAGCACGGGUGCUUGCACCUGGUGGCGAGUGGCGAACGGGUGAGUAAUAUAUCGGAACGUACCCGGAAAUGGGGGAUAACGUAGCGAAAGUUACGCUAAUACCGCAUAUGCCCUGAGGGGGAAAGCGGGGGAUUCGUAAGAACCUCGCGUUUUCGGAGCGGCCGAUAUCGGAUUAGCUAGUAGGUGAGGUAAAGGCUCACCUAGGCGACGAUCCGUAGCUGGUCUGAGAGGACGACCAGCCACACUGGAACUGAGACACGGUCCAGACUCCUACGGGAGGCAGCAGUGGGGAAUUUUGGACAAUGGGCGCAAGCCUGAUCCAGCCAUGCCGCGUGAGUGAAGAAGGCCUUCGGGUUGUAAAGCUCUUUCAGCCGGAAAGAAAACGCACAAGUUAAUACCCUGUGUGGAUGACGGUACCGGAAGAA